rnacentral:rRNA from 1 species
CAUGGAGGGUGAGAAUCCCGUCCGGCUAACCUUCAGGACGUUUUACGAUACGCUCUCAAAGAGUCGAGUUGUUUGGGAUUGCAGCUCAAAAUGGGAGGUAAAUUUCUCCUAAGGCUAAAUACCGGCGAGAGACCGAUAGCGAACAAGUACCGUAAGGGAAAGAUGAAAAGAAUUUUGAAAAGAAAGUCAAACAGUACGUGAAAUUGUUGAAAGGGAAACGAUUGAAGCCAGUCGUACCGACGGGAAUUCAACUUCUCGAGUGCUAAUCGUGGGUGACGUUGAGCCUCACGGCCUUCGUUGCUUGUGUUGUUGGUGCUUUUGGGGUGUACUUUUCCGUAUUGGUAGGUCAGCAUCGAUUUCGAUCGUCAUAAAAUGAUCGGGGGAAUGUAGCUUCGGUCUCGUAUCGAAGUGUUAUAGACCUUGGUAGAUGUGACGAUUGGGAUCGAGGAUUGCAACGAAUACCCUUUGGGCUAUCCGUCUGUCCUCUGAAAGUCGCUCGGGUGUCGAAAGCGUGCUUAUGGCUAUUCGAGUUGGCGGUCAACAGGUUAGAACGUGAUUAUAUUCGUUAAGGAUGUUGACGUAAUGG